rnacentral:rRNA from 1 species
GGACGCAUCACUGGUGUUCGGGUUGUCAUGCCAAUGGCACUGCCCGGUAGCUAAAUGCGGAAGAGAUAAGUGCUGAAAGCAUCUAAGCACGAAACUUGCCCCGAGAUGAGUUCUCCCUGACUCUUUAAGGGUCCUGAAGGAACGUUGAAGACGACGACGUUGAUAGGCCGGGUGUGUAAGCGCAGCGAUGCGUUGAGCUAACCGGUACUAAUGAACCGUGAGGCUUAACCUUACAACGCCGAAGRUGUU